rnacentral:rRNA from 1 species
AGCGAACGCUGGCGGUAGGCCUAACACAUGCAAGUCGAACGGCCGCACAGUAAGUGCUUGCUCUUACGGGUGGCGAGUGUCGGACGGGUGAGUAAAACACUGGAAUCUACUUUUUCGUGGGGGAUAACGUAGGGAAACUUACGCUAACACCGCAUACGACCUACGGGUGGAAGCAGUGGAGCUGCGGAUCUUUGGCGCUUGACCGAGUCGGUGUCGGAUUAGCUAGUUGGCGGGGUAACGGCCCACCAAGGCGACGAUCCGUAGCCGGUCUGAGAGGAUGAUCGGCCACACUGGAACUGAGACACGGUCCAGACUCCUACGGGAGGCAGCAGUAGGGAAUAUUGGGCAAUGGGCGCAAGCCUGAUGCAGCAAUGCCGCGUGAGUGAAGAAGGCCUUCGGGUUGUAAAGCCCUGUUGUUGGGAAAGAAAAGCAGCAGGUUAAUACCUGGCUGUUCUGACGGUACCCAAAGAAUAAGCACCGGCUAACUACGUG